rnacentral:rRNA from 1 species
CCUACGGGAGGCAGCAGUGGGGAAUAUUGGGCAAUGGGCGCAAGCCUGACCCAGCAACGCCGCGUGAAGGAAGAAGGCUUUCGGGUUGUAAACUUCUUUUCUCAGGGACGAAGAAAGUGACGGUACCUCAGGAAUAAGCCACGGCUAACUACGUGCCAGCAGCCGCGGUAAUACGUAGGUGGCAAGCGUUAUCCGGAUUUAGUGGGUGUAAAGGGCGUGUAGGCGGGAAAGCAAGUCAGAUGUGAAAACCCCGGGCUCAACCCUGGGCCUGCAUUUGAAACUGUUUUUCUUGAGUGCUGUAGAGGCAAGUGGAAUUCCGGGUGUAGCGGUGAAAUGCGUAGAGAUACGGAGGAAUACCAGUGGCGAAGGCGGAUUGCUGGACAGUAACUGACGCUGAGGCGCGAAAGCGUGGGGAGCAAACAGGAUUAGAUACUCCUGUAGUC